UACAGAGGUCUCAACCGUUGUUCGGAUUCAUUGGGCGUAAAGGGUGCGUAGGCGGUCGCGCAAGUCGGAUGUGAAAUCUCAGGGCUCAACCCUGAAACUGCAUUCGAUACUGCGUGGCUAGAGUGCUGGAGGGGAGUGUGGAAUUCCCGGUGUAGCGGUGAAAUGCGCAGAUAUCGGGAGGAACACCAGCGGCGAAGGCGGCACUCUGGGCUGGAACUGACGCUGAGGAGCGAAAGCGUGGGUAGCAAACAGG
rnacentral:rRNA from 1 species